rnacentral:rRNA from 1 species
UGGGGAAUUUUGGACAAUGGGCGAAAGCCUGAUCUAGCAAUGCCGCGUGUGUGGAGAAGGCCUUCGGGUUGUAAAGCACUUUUGUCCGGAAAGAAAUCCUCUGGGUUAAUACCUCGGGGGGAUGACGGUACCGGAAGAAUAAGCACCGGCUAACUACGUGCCAGCAGCCGCGGUAAUACGUAGGGUGCAAGCGUUAAUCGGAAUUACUGGGCGUAAAGCGUGCGCAGGCGGUUUUGUAAGACGGAUGUGAAAUCCCCGGGCUUAACCUGGGAACUGCAUUCGUGACUGCAAGGCUAGAGUAUGGCAGAGGGGGGUAGAAUUCCACGUGUAGCAGUGAAAUGCGUAGAGAUGUGGAGGAAUACCGAUGGCGAAGGCAGCCCCCUGGGCCAAUACUGACGCUCAUGCACGAAAGCGUGGGGAGCAAACA